UGAAGGAAGAUAGCCAACGCAUAAGCUAUACCAGUCACACAAUACACGAGGCAUACCAAGACGAUAUAGUGAUCCAAAAACGUGGAUCUCGGGUUAGUGAAGAAGUAGAACAUGGAGAGGUAAACCAAUGGCUUGACAAGUGUAUUGAAACAGUCUAUUGUAUCUUUGGCAAGGAAGCUAGCUAAGCUACUCAUCCCAGCCGCACUUUCUCUCCAGUAAUGUACCUUGUCUAGUGAGAAUGAUCUUAGAGCUGCUAUUUUGCACAGAAGAGCUGACAUAUGAAGAAAAAAAAAGACUAAUAAGAAAAGAAUACGAAGAAAGUUAAGUAUUAGAAGGAAACCAACUUACAAACGGCGAUGAUAGUGUAGGUAUAACCAGGUGCUCCAAAGCUCUCAUCACUUGCUUUGAUCAGUGAUCCUAAACAAGCUCCAGCUAGCAAUAAGAUCAAGUAGUCUGUGGCUUGUAACUUAGCUUCUCUCAUUCUCUGCUUAGCUAUCCUGUAAAAUCAGAAACACUUUAGCUCUAUCUUAAGAUAGUGUCGUGGAGAUUAAGAAAAUAAGUACCUUCCAAGGAAAUAUUUGUAUUGCAGCCACAUAGAAGGGGUUCUUCUGUAGGAUAAAUCUCUGGUCUUUAAGAAGUUGUGUCUUAUUUUAUCACCACGCAACCUGAAAUUACUCGUUACAUCUCCCAACAGCUCUCUGACAAAUGUCGGUUCUGCACUGUAGUUGUCGUUUUUCCGCAUAUCUAAUGGAACCGAGAAACCUUCGUGAAGCAUCCACCUCUGAGGAAGCUCUUUGAUGCUAACAUCAGAGUUCAGGUUGGUUACAAUCCCUUCCAGAACGUCUAUGUAGUAGUCAGGAGGGUUGAUACGUUCUGGUACAAUGAUUCCAAGACCAGAGAAGUAUUCCUCGACGUUCUCUACUGGUCCGUGGUAAACAGUAAGGCCACCUUUCGCUAGAAGUACUAGAUCAUUGAACGUUUUGAACAAUGUAUAACUGCAAUACAGAAAGAUUAUGAACUUAGAAAGCUUCAUGACAAUUAAAAAGACAUUUAUGAUUUGAUUUACCUCGGUUGGUGAACAACCAUGCAGAUAUUGACUCCCUCAAGGGCCUCAUGCUUAAGUGCUUUAAGAAGAAGCUGUGAUGAGGCACUGUCCAAACCAGAAGUAGGUUCAUCCAAGAACAAAAUAGAAGGCUCCAUUGCCAUCUCCAAACCAACGUUCACUCGUUUCCUCUGCCCUCCUGAGAUUCCACGUUUCUCUACCGUACCAACUAGUGAGCUUCUCACACCUUGUAGCCCCAAAGAGUCGAUGACUCUCUCGACCACAAGCACUUUUUCGGCUUUUGAUUGUCCUGCAGGUAAUCUGCAUCUAGCAUGGAACCAGAUGUUUUCCUCAACAGUCAAGUUUCCAUGGACAAUGUCAUCUUGUGGCACAAACCCAAUAAUCUUCUUAAAUGAGUGGAUUGAUAAUUGCUUCCCGUUUAUAAGCAACAAACCACUCAGAUUGCACCCAACAGCUUUCCCAGCCAAAGCAGAAAGAAGACUUGUCUUUCCUGCUCCUGAUGGACCCAUCACAGCUGUGAUCCGACCUGGUUUCAUGGUUCCUGUCACACAUCUCAACAGAUGCUUACCAUUGGAUUUCAAGGUAAGAGUUAAAUCUUGGAAAGAAAGCUCCAAGAGGGUCCUCCUCUUCAUCUCAGAGUAAGUAGCCAUGUUAACUAUUCCUGAAAAGGUAAGAUCGCUAUUCUCUAGCUCCAUGGCUUUCUCCUUCUCGAUCUGAUUAUACGCAUACUUUAAGAUUUGGCUCUGUGAAUUCUUGAUUCUGGGACCUUUACCUCUCUUUCCACUUGGUCUUUUGUUACUUCCGCCAGCUGCAUCAUCCUCUAUCUCAAAGCUAGGUUGCACAGCUGAGGAGGAACUCGCAGGACUUGAAGACGAGUCCACACGAUCCAACAUCUUGUGAGUUUCUCCAUCUUUUUUGGUUCUUUUACCCGAGAGCGUCUGACUUAUUUGCUCACUUAUCUCAGUUACAUGCUUCUUAGCAGCAGUUCUAGCAACUUUCCAUCUCUGGUUGGCUUUAGCUUUCUUCACAGCUGCUUCCCUUGACUUCGCCUGCCUCCUCUCCCUUGUUGUUAGGAUUUGAUCAGAACAGUUGUAUAUAAUGAGUAGAAUAGUGACCACACCACACUGCACAAACACAUUGAAAGCCACUCUUUUUGUCAAUAAUCUUUUGGAUGACUAAUAAUAUAACUGAAUUAAAAAAAGACUUACAAUAACCAAAAUCCAAAAUGCAUGCAGAUUUGCGGAGUUGGAAUUGCAAGAAGUCAACUUAAAGCAAGCUGGAAGACAAUAAGUACAUGAAUAGAGAGACUAAGACAUAUUUAAAAUAAAAACUUCACUAUGAUAAUUCUGAAAGACUUACGUUCCUUAGAUGUAGAACCCAUACGACAGUAGUGCCUGGAUCAUACAUACAUACAUAAUAAGAGUAUAGAUAGUUACUUUUAAUAGAUAGAGAGCAUUGGUAAUAAUAACACAACUUUGAUUAUUAUUUGUCACAAUAGAAUGGAGUUUUAAGGGGACAAAGGUUGAAUUACCCACUACCACAAGGUAAUUUUAGAGUGGUCGUUGGACAAUAAUAUCCCGCGGAACAGAAUAAUUCGUCGCUUCUACUGUGAUCGGCCCAUACAUUUGCACCUCCACAAGUGUGGUUUAGUUGUCCUGGUGGUAGUUGAUAAGCAUACCUAUAUAAAUUGCAAUAUUUCAACAUCUUAUCCCACAAUAGCAUAACAUGUCUACUUAAAAAAAAGAAAGUAAAAACUCACGGGUCGCAUAAGCCUGUUGUCUCAUUAAGGGUAGCUAAGGGGCAAUAAGAACCACGAGGGCAAGCUAUUUUCAAAACAGAAGAGAAAAUUUAGACGAUAUUGAAAGAAGGUUAGAGAUAUCAAUGGAAAAAAAUAAAGAGAGUUUUGGAUUUGCUUACGUAUCAUACAAGUGAGUCCGUUGGGGCAGAAGAAGCCCUCGCAGCAAGGCAUACAGUUACUUGUUCUUUCUGGAAGGUCAUCUUGUUCGGUUAGAUGAUCCCGGCUGCAGGCCCAGCCAGGCUCACAACCAGGGACCCAUGAUGUCAAGUUGCAAUUCCGAUUCGGUUUCGGUUUCAAGUACCCAGGGUUAUCCGUUUUCAACAGGAACUCAUCUGAAUAGAACUUCAUCUCUGCUGCUGUGCAGAUACGGCUAACAAAAUCACCUGUUUCCAAACACCAAAACAAAGUCAAACAAAUGUGAAACCAUAAGAAACAAGAUUAUACAAUCUAAUCAUCAAAUCGUCGCUCUUUACAUCUUCUAUCAACCAACAAGCAAUAAUAACUAAGCAAGAAGAAGUUGGUUACCUUCGGUUUUGUUAAAGCAAGAACGCAGGAAAUCCAAGUUGGCGGAGAAAUUAAAAGCUUUGUCCCAAUCAGCAGUCCUGACAACAGUGAAGGAUUAUCUCAAGACAUUUGUUAACUGAAACAAUACAUUUCACUAUGUCAAAGCAUCAAGUUGACCUCUUUAUGUAGUACAUAUCUUAGUAUUCAAACAACACACAAAAGCUCAAGUUUUGUAGAAAACGAGACAUUUGAUUGCAACAAAUGAUACAAGUAUCCAAAACUAGAAACCAAAGCAAUGAAAGCUUACAGGUCUUUGACGCAAAACUUUGCUUUAGUAGCGAGCUCUUGAUUUAGAGCAGCAGUGAUAUUGUAGAGACUAUGGUAAACCAUCUGUGUAAAAGCUGGAUUGUUGAAGUCAUUUGUGUCCUCAAACUGACCAUAACCAACAUAACAAACCAACCAAAGAACUAACACCACCAAUCUGAGAUUAUAUCCGUGUUUGAGCCAGUUUCGCCGGUUUACACUCAUCUUGAGAAUCAAUAACCUUAAAAGAAAGACACAUGCGAGAGAGAGAGAUUAUUAACUAAACCAAAUUAACUAAUCUUGAUCUUGGGUUUAUUAAAACAAUCUAAACAAUCUUUUUUAUCUAAAUUCAAGAACUUGAAGACCCAGAAACUCAAAAACCGCUUCUUUUCAUUUCAAGUACUUUAACUUUGUUCUACAGAACUCAUAAUCAACAGAGUAUAAGAAAGAAACUUACUUAAUAAGGCAAUGAAGUUUCAUGAAAUGAGAGCUAAGGAAUCCAUGAAAAUGCUUGCUUCUUGGAGACGGUUCUUUAUAGAGAAAUGUAGCAAGCUAUUGAGAUAUUUGUGAGUUAAUCUGCCAACAUUGACUCUGGAGUCUCCUCACGUCUAGACAAGAAGACCAAUAAGAAGAAAGGUAGUGGGGUUUAAUGGUUCAUUAGGACAAAGAACUUAAGGACAUACUAGUGGGGUUUAAUGGUUCAUUAGGACAAAGAACUUAAGGACAUACUUAGGCAGCUCAUACUUAGCACCUGUGGAGUAAGAGUAGGUACUAGUUAGGAGUAUGUAACAAAUAGGAACACAGAAAAAUCACUGAGGGAAGUGAAAAAGAUUUGAAUGUUUAACCUCUCUCAUCAUAGCAGGUAGUGAGAUCAUUGUUCUGAACAAUGACUCCUGCACUGUCCACGAUUGCUUGCGCAAGAGAUAUGUCAGCUUCAGCUGCAGCACGAAGUGCAUCCCAUAAAUCUGCGAUUAACCAAGUGUAAGAUCCAAACAUGUGGGUAUCAAGACCAGAAGUAAACAUCCAAAAAGAAACACAGAAAGACAAGACUUCUAUGGUUUCUCUUAUUCCUCACUGAUGAUACUGACAAAAAUCUAAUGAAGUUCCUUAGCUCAGUUGAGAAUGGUUCAAAAAAUGAAAUUUAUCAAGGUCAUGUAACACUGAUGAGGAAUACCACAAGGGUCCUUAGCUCAGUGGUAGAGCAAUUGACUGCAGAUCAAUAGGUCACCGGUUCGAAUCCGGUAGGGCCCUUAAAAUCUAACUUUUUCACUACUUUACAACAUCUAAGACUAAUAUCAUUCCUUUUUACAAGUCAUUCAAUCAAUGCCUAUACCAUAAUCUUUAUAUCUCACUGAUCACUGUGUAACAGAAGAGUUCUUAGCUCAGUGGUAGAGCAAUUGACUGCAGAUCAAUAGGUCUCUGGUUCGAACCCUGUAGAGCCCUUAUAAAUCUCUGUUUUUAACUUCUCCCCCCUACCCCUUUUCAACAAAUCCUUAAUUUAUUUUGAAUAAAAUGAAAACACAUCACUCAGGCAAGCCAAAGAAACAAGUAUUCAAAUUUUACCUUUGGUACCGCCAUAGUGAGGAGCAGUGUCCCAAAACUCUUCUCUCAUUUUCACAAGCUCAGCUUUACUGAUCGGUUGAGUAUGCUUCCACGGUUCCGGCUUCCUAAUUCUCUUCACUGCCCCUGUUAACAAAACAACGAGUUAUCAAAAACAAAGACAACCUCCAUCUGCUGCCAUAUAAAACUCUUACAAAACAAAGACAGUGUAUGUGCACCACUCAUCAUACUUGUGCUCAAUUAAGGAUUCCAGAAGGGAAAUUAAUUCGCAGAAACUAGCCUUAGAUUCAGCAGUCCAUAAGAGGGAUGCCAGUCAUAAUGAGGGAUGAUACUUACUAUUAAGUUAAAAGCUUCCAGAUGAAGCCGAGUCAACAAAAUGUUACGUGUUGUAAGAUCUCUCGCAUUGCCAGGUGAUGCAAGCAAAUAUAUACACAGAGACUACAUCUGAACACUAUGUAUGGUUCUAUUUCUACCUCUUAGGGUUGAAAGACUGAACAUUUCAACAUAUAAAUCAAGGGUUUCUCACUAUCUAAAAAUAGAAAGUCUGCAUCUUUUAUCUUCUCUAACGAAACCUUAAAAAUGAUUCCUUUUUCCGCCCAACCCAGCUAAUAAACUAAAAGAGAUUCGAGAGAUGGUUAGUGUGAUCUCUCACCUUCUGCUUGUGACUGCGUGGAUCCAGCACAACCCAUUUGUAUGUUCUUGCUUCUUUCUGUCGCUCAAGUAACAAAAGUCUCUCUCGGAAACAGACAACAAUGAUUCCGACAAAACCCUUCACCGAAGCCAAUCAAAGUCGUAAACUUUCCUUUCAAAAAUGAGAUUUUUUUGGAAUCUUGAGACAAAGGAGAAGAAGAAGGAGACCGAGUUGAAGAUGAUGAAUCUCGGUGGUGUUAAUGAUUGAGACAUUGUUUGUUUUGAUAAAUAAAAAGGGAAAGGGUUUUGGCUUCACACCUUCAAAGGGUUCUAAAUCCAAUUCCAGCCACCAAUCACUUUUUGCCACGUCAUCGUUAUUAUUCUUUGAUAUUGAUCAUGAAUGAAUGAUUGGUCAAGUUAAAUCAUAUCUCAGUUUGUGAAACACAAGAGCAUCACUUUAAAAAGGAGAUGUUACUUAUCUUCUGAUUACUGAUGGAAGAAACUGCUCAACUUUUGUUAGCAAUGGAGCAAGGAUUGUUACUUUACCAUAAGUCGUGUUUGUCCAAUACAAAGAAGAAGAAAGAAAGCUUGUUCCCAGCUAAGAAACAAGUCAAGCAUUUAAAAGAGCUUAUAUAUCAGCUAAUUAAACACCAACAAAUUAAUAUCACAAAAGACCUGUAACAAACCCUUCUAACAAGACAAUGAACUAAGACGAACACAACACUAUAGUCUUCUUGGUUGAAUAUAACCAAAAACUCGCAGAACCAUGAAACUCUUCUCUCCUCCUACCUCCAAGCUUCAUAGCCCUGCGAGAACUAAAACCGUAAUGAAAACAAAACCUUUUGUCUUUCACCUCUUUUGAAGUAUAAUCAUCCCCACAAAGGCAAUCAUACGAGUGACCCCACCAAUGAGAAUCAAUAUCAUUAUACACAGAUUCCAUUCAUUAAUGUCGUAUCCACUCUUCAUUAGUGAUCCACAUCGUGUGAUCAUCCAUACUCCAUAGUACCUGAAACCCCAAAAACAAAAAAAAACAUCUGAUAUACAAAAUCAAACCAUACUCCAUAAUGUUUUGGAUGGCCUUACUUUUGAGCAUUUCCAAUAACAAAGGCUUGCAAAGCCCACUUUGGAUAACACAAAUCAGCUAUGAUCUUCAUAGCUUCACUAUCCUUAGGUUGAGUUGCAACAAGUGUUAAAACCACUGGAAGAAGUACAGAAAACUGCAAAAGACACCAACAUUUUUUUGUCAGUUUAGACCAAUAAGGAUUCUUUCUCUUAAAACCAAAAUGAAAAAAACUCACCAGCUGAGCAGAGCCUGGUUGGAGGAAGAUAGCCAACGCAUAUGCUAUACCAGUCACACAAUACACCAGGCAUACCAAGACUAUAUAGUUAUCGAAAAACGUGGACCUCGGGUUAGUAAAGAAGUAGAACAUGGAGAGAUAAACCAAUGGCUUGACAAGUGUGUUGAAACAGUCCAUUGUAUCUUUGGCAAGGAAACAAGCCAAGCUACUCAUCCCUGAAGCACUUUCUCUCCAGUAAUGUAACUUGUCUAGUGAGAAUGAUCUCAAUGCUGCUAUUUUGCACAGA
rnacentral:lncRNA from 1 species